CGCUGGCGGCAGGCUUAACACAUGCAAGUCGAGCGGGCGUAGCAAUACGUCAGCGGCAGACGGGUGAGUAACGCGUGGGAACAUACCUUUUGGUUCGGAACAACACAGGGAAACUUGUGCUAAUACCGGAUAAGCCCUUACGGGGGAAAGAUUUAUCGCCGAAAGAUUGGCCCGCGUCUGAUUAGCUAGUUGGUGAGGUAACGGCUCACCAAGGCGACGAUCAGUAGCUGGUCUGAGAGGAUGAUCAGCCACAUUGGGACUGAGACACGGCCCAAACUCCUACGGGAGGCAGCAGUGGGGAAUAUUGGACAAUGGGCGCAAGCCUGAUCCAGCCAUGCCGCGUGAGUGAUGAAGGCCCUAGGGUUGUAAAGCUCUUUUGUGCGGGAAGAUAAUGACGGUACCGCAAGAAUAAGCCCCGGCUAACUUCGUG
rnacentral:rRNA from 1 species